GGAGGACGACUCCGUGCAGGGCGAAAGGGGCGGGGGGGGGGGGGGGGGAGGUUGCAAAGGAACACCGGAGAGCGCCAGGCAUACAGCAAGCGCUCAAUAAAUGGCCGACUGGCAACUGCCCGUCGUCACUGAGCCCAGGACCCUUUACGUCGGCCCGUCAGUCGCCCACUGCCCCUCUCCGCCGCGACGCGGCAAAUAAAGCAAACGUUAAUGGUUAAGCAGCAGGUCAAUCGCGCUCCCCCCAGCGCGGGAGCGGACAAAGACCCGAGGCCACGCCCAGCGCGCCCACCGUGGGGCGGGGUAGUGGAUCCUGAGAAUCCCCCCACGCCCCCGUUGGCUAUUCCAGUGAAGGACGGGGCCAUCAGCCAACCGCAGCCCAGGCACGACGCAUGCGUCCACAGAAGCUUUAGCCCUAGAUGGGAAAAAAAGCCGCGGGCGCACCGCUGUGGCUGCGUCUGGCCAGGACCUGGGGAAGCGGGUGCGCAUGCGUGAGCCCGACACCACCCUCUCCCUGCGAGACGCGAGCGUACGCAACGUGGCCGGCCGGGGUCUCCGGGGGCGCGCCCCGCAGGGAGGGACCUCGGCCCCACGCGUGCGCGCGGGCCGCGAUCUCGCGCGAGGCCGUCGGUGGACGACGCCCCGCUGGCCCCGCGCGCCCGGCCGCCGGCGGGGGCCCCCUCCUGGCAGCCGAGGGCCCCCCGAUCUCUGGGGACCACAGCCCCUGACCGCGCACACCCAGGAGGCCGCGACCCCCACCCGCGCAGGCCAAGACCCUCAAUCCUGGAGGCCGAGACCCCGGCCCUUGAGAGGACUGCCCCCGCCCCGUGGGGCGUUGCUGCACUGGACAGACCGACAGAGAAGCCCCGGAGCACGACAGACAUUCGGAGCCAUGUUCAUAAACUGCAAAAUACGCACAAUGAAGCAGUAUAGUGUCUAUAGCAUUUCUGCACAUGUUGUCAGUUGAGUCUCACGCCAGCCCUUCAAGGUAUUGUCUCCAUGUGCAAGAUGAAGAAAGGAGACCAAAAAUUCAUGAGGCCGGUGGCACAAAGACAGGAAAGGUGAGCGUGCAGAAGGUCAGCGGGGAGCCCUGGGCAGUUAAAUCUCCAGGGUGCCGAGCACUGUGCCUGGAACAGAGAACGUGGUCGGCAAGCACUCGUUCAGCGGGUGAGUGACGGAACUUUCUGACCGUGUGGGUGUCCAGGAGUGACAGGAGCUGCCCCGAAGGCAGGUGCCCUGCUCAGCGGCUGGCUGACCACCGUGGGGACCAGGAGGACGAGAGAGGCCACUUUGGGCAAACUUCGGAGAGAAGCCCCCUCUGUGACUGUUUACGUGAGUCUGUAUAUCCGAGGCUGAAGACAAGACCAUGUUACGAUAAUAAGGUUCUCGCCUGCAGUGGGGCAGCAGUCCCCAGAGAAGGGCCGGGACAAAAGAGACGUUUUGAAGGGAAAGUUCAUAGGACUCGUUGCCGGAAUGGGUAUGAGGUGUGUUGUUGUUGUGUGUGUUGUUGUGUGUUGUCUGUGGCUCCCGGAUGCUGUGCCGCUGACUUCACAAGGGCGUAGAGGAACGUAGAUUCGUGCCUAGCAGGUGGUUUGCGAUGCAGGAUAGCGCUCAGGACGGGUAAGGGCUGACGACACGCCGACACGCCAGGGAAACAGCACCUCAGUUUGAGUUAGGAGACCCGAUUCCUAGGCCUGUCACCCGGGACACGUCACUUCAUCUGAGUGUUUGGUACAGAACGCAUACGCGCAACAAGAACCGAAAAGAAGAAUGUGCCUGAACCCCUUGUCCACAUCUAGUUAAAUCGACUCCUGUAGUUAAAUAUGCAGAUACCCGCCCCUGGAACUGUGCUUGCCUCCGUUGUCCCAUGAUGUUACGUCCUUCAUUCUGGGACUGCCACAUUUGUGCUGGAAGUGCUGUCUUACCCGAGUUUCUGUCCCCCCCCCCCGCCCCCCGCCGUGCCUGGCACAGAGCCGGAGCUCGGUAGAUGUGUGUUGCCCCGCACAGAAUUGUGUGAACUAGAAAGAACAUUCAUUUCCCCAAGACCUAGGUUUCCUUAUUUGUAAAUGCGACUAGUUGACCUUUAAAAUUCUUUUGAGUUCUGGACUUCUGUUAUCCAACCAUGUUCUACUGAUUGAGAAGACUGAACUAGCUGAUUGCUGAAUUCCUUUCCAGCUCCAGUGUUCCGUUGUGAUACUGAGUGGCCGGCAAUCUCACAGAAGCCGCGGUUGGGCGGGUCCUCAAAGGGAAAGCGUGGAGAAGGUUGAGGACAGAGACAGCACCCAGUUGUCCCAAACCAGAGUGGCACAGAAUGACCAGGCUGGGAAGCAGGAAGAAUACGAAUGGCAGAGUGUCAAACUGAGACGCCCAGAGGAGCCAGGCGGAGGAUGUGAAUGUGGGACGUGGCCCCGCCGUGUGAGGGAGGCCAUGCCCACCCAAGGAAGUCCGCGGUCUCUUCCAGUUUUUGAGAUGAAGCUGGACUCCCAGCGUUUUAUUUGAAAUCCUGUGAUUUUUAAGUACUGACAACCAAUUCAGAUUAUUUUUAAAACUCCGUGCAGGUUAAAAAACAACAACAAACGAACAAAAAAGCCCUCCACGCCUCUUGGCCUGCUGGCCUCUACCCUCGCUGGCAUGGUGCCCUCAAUCCGCGCAUGCCCCAGCACGAUGUUGCUGGAAGUUUCCCGUUUCUGUUCACGCCGGUUCUCCGAUAGGCCAACCCUUCCCGAUACUCCCAGGACUUUGCUCAUUUAUCCCCUCCCUGCCUUCUGUUUUCAGCGUCUCCCUUUAUGCUUGUGUCUCCUUCAGUCUCGAAACAUGCCAGCGUCUUUCCACAUCCUGAAGACGCUGCUUCGUUCUCCUACGGUCCCUUCCAGGGCCUUUCUAGAAAGUUCUUUCUUUUUCCCUUCCACAGAUUUCCUAGCAGAAUCCACUGCAUUCUCCCUGUCUUCCUGUUGUGAGCCGGCUUUGCUGCUCAGCUCGCUGUAGUUUAAGGUCUGCCUCCGUGAUUCCACUGAAGGUUUUCUGACCAGGGCAGAGGUCUCUGUUGCUGAAUUCAUGAGACUGCUCCAACUAGGCUAAACUCACACUCAGAGACCCAAGUGGUGUCCUUUGCUUUAAUCUAUUACCUGAGAAAUGUCGCAUCGGUGUUUAUGGAACCAAACGGGAAAGUGUCCUCGAGAAAGGACAGUCGGCACCAUGGGAUUUGCAGACAGAUCAAAGUCUGUGUCGGCCACACGAAGCCCACUGGGUUGUAAGAAAAGGAGAUUGCCACUAGCUUUUGAGAGGACAGUUCCGGCAGAGGCAGCUGGAAGGUACGCUGCUGUAGUCUGUGAAGAAAAGGGUGGUGACGUGAUGACAGACGGUGCCCAGAGGUGGCGCCUCGGACAAGUUUGGCACCACGGGAAGCGACAUCAAGCAGGAGGUAUUGGAGACACGCGUGCCCGUCAGAGUCCCUGAGGUUGAGGAAAUCCUGGCAUGUCUGCAGGUAAAGCGGGCAAGCCAGUGGCACGGGAGAUACUGGAAAUGCUGGGGAAGGACUACCUGAGAGCCGGCUGCCAGGGGCGUCGGGAAGAAUCGAGAAGUCAGCCAGUUGAAAGGACUGGGCCGCCUUGACGAGGAAGCGAGGAGUCUCUGAAGUAGGCAGAACGGUUAAAGGCAUGAGUUGUCAUUCUAUCCGGACUCUCGUGGGGGCAGCGGUGACGCAGGAGAGCCCCGGUGUGCGUUUCAUCCGUGAUACGGGAGCGACGCCCCGUCUCCAGUCACAGGGAGGCAGAGCAGAUCCGGGAUUGUUGGCCGCCUUAGCGACAUCACUCUGCACUGGCUGUGUCCCUUCCGCUCCCUCUGCACUGGUUCCGGGGGGCUCUGGCCUUGGCUGCCCCCCUCUCCUCGUCAGGGAAGUGUCGUCCCCACACCUGAGGUUUAAGCAGCCACCUCAAUGCUAGGGACUCCAAUCUGCGUCUGUGACCUAGAUCUCUCUCCUGAGCCUCCCGUCUAUGCGCCCAGUAUCUUUAUGACUAGAACUGGUCAUUUCUCCUUAAUUCUUUAUCCUAAUGUUUUAUUUUAUUUAAACAAUGUUUUUUGAUGUUUAUUUUUGAGACAGGAGCCACAGAACACGAGCAGGGGAGGGGCAGAGAGAGAGAGGGAGACACAGAAUCGGAAGCAGGAUCCAGGCUCCGAGCCGUUAGUGCAGAGCCCGACGCGGGGCUGAAACUCACAAGCCGUGAGACCAUGACCUGAGCCGAAGUCGGCCGCUCGUCCGACUGAGCCGCCCAGGCGCCCCAGUGCCAUAUCCUAGCUAAUGGCCGCAGUCAUUUUGCAGUUGUCAAGCCAGAUCUGGGUUUCACCUCCCUCCCCCCUCCCCCCGCAAGUGUAUAUGUGUAUAGUAGAUACUUAAAAGAACAGGAACAUAUUUAUGUUUCGUGUGCUGGGUUUUCUUUUUCACUUACUACCGUCACGAUCACUAGCGCAUGUCGAUAAAUGCCUUUUUACAUUCUUA